GCACUGCUGAGGAGUCUCAUCCUAGGACGAAACGACCGUCCAGUGC
rfam:Schistosoma margrebowiei strain Zambia genome assembly, scaffold: SMRZ_contig0001770